AUUGAACGCUGGCGGCAGGCUUAACACAUGCAAGUCGAGCGGGGGAAGGUAGCUUGCUACCGGACCUAGCGGCGGACGGGUGAGUAAUGCUUAGGAAUCUGCCUAUUAGUGGGGGACAACAUCUCGAAAGGGAUGCUAAUACCGCGUACGUCCUACGGGAGAAAGCAGGGGAUCUUCGGACCUUGCGCUAAUAGAUGAGACUAAGUCGGAUUAGCUAGUUGGUGGGGUAAAGGCCUACCAAGGCGACGAUCUGUAGCGGGGCUGAGAGGAUGAUCCGCCACACUGGGACUGAGACACGGCCCAGACUCCUACGGGAGGCAGCAGUGGGGAAUAUUGGACAAUGGGGGGAACCCUGAUCCAGCCAUGCCGCGUGUGUGAAGAAGGCCUUAUGGUUGUAAAGCACUUUAAGCGAGGAGGAGGCUACUCUAGUUAAUACCUAGGGAUAGUGGACGUUACUCGCAGAAUAAGCACCGGCUAACUCUGUGCCAGCCGCCGCGGUAA
rnacentral:rRNA from 1 species